AACAGUGCACACACCAACUGAACAAUUGACUGUAGGGUCAUUUAUGUUGUGUAAAGAAAUUAUAAAAAAAUCUGUCCUGUGACUAACUAUUAAAUGCUAUAAUGUAAUGUCCUGUGAUUGUCUUGUUAUCUUUAUGUGUAAACCCUGAUUGAUGCUGCAAUAGAAAUAUUAAAUAAUAUUAAUCAGACUCUUCCCCUCUCUUUCAGAUGUUGUAACCUGACUAAAUUGGGAAUCUGCAAAAAGAGUUUAAAAGAAAAAAUCGAGCAACAAACCUAACGUUGCAAUAAUUUACACUCCUUUUUUGUCUUGAUUUUAAAGUGACAGAUGUGUCAAAUCCCCGAGUAUGAGUUUGAGUGAUACUUCCACCCAAAAGAGAUGUGAGACCACUCUGAAAGUGUCGCAAGUAUGUCAUAUGCGUGGAAAAAGAUGGAUAUGCCAGCUUUUGCCUGGAUUCUACUGAUGAUUCAUGUUUGUCCCGGGGAAUAGUCUCACAGCAUUGUCUGCUUAAAGCUUUUCUGUGAGAUAUGUUUACCAGGACUUGAUUUUCUACAAUGGUUUAUGCAGAUUCUCAUUUAGAGUGAAGUAUAUCUCUGUACCGUAACAAGAUAACAUUUCAAUCAUUGAUUUUGCUAUAUGUAUUAAAUAUAAUUAUAUAUUUUUUAAAUUCAUAAAAAUAAUUAAGCUCUUUAUUUUUCGGCAAGGUUGUCAGUUAUUAAUAUAACUGAAGUCUUUGAUUGGAUUCUGAUCCACUGUAGAAUUUUAAGGUAACAUGAUUUCUAUUUUUUUAUCUAGAAAAAUGCUUUUAUUUUACAGCUGACUAAGCAGACAAUAGCAUAGCUGCCAACUGUUCAGAAUUUUUUAGGAUUUGUUCCUAAUUUUUAAAUCUAAUCUGAAAAUCUGAUAUUUUUAUAAAAAAUCUGAAUUUUCAUAAAAUUUUUGAUUUUGAACCAAUCCUUUUUUCUGAUCGCCACAAGCACGCAUCCUGUGAUUAUUGUGCUAAAGUAAUUUUUAGUAGCUUUUUAUUGGAAAAUAUUAUUCCAAUAGCUGUCUGUUGCUGAUUAUUUCACUAAAUUAUUAUUUUUGGAAAUAAAUAAUUAUAUAUUAAUAGGUAAUGUUUGUUUUUAAUAUAUCAUACCGGUAUUCCUAAUUUUAAAAUAUUAAUGUUAUAAGUUUCCCGCAAAAGAUAGCGUUUAUAGUUUUGUUUUACUAAUUUACAUAUUUAAAUAUAUGUCUAUUAAUGUUAUGAUUUAAUAGUUAAAUUUUUAUCUUACUCUCGUAAUUAGUGCAUAUAAUUUUGUCGCAUCUAGUGUUCCUAAUUUUUGAUUCCUAAGGUUGGCAGCUAUGCAAUAGUUAUAAAGAAAGACUUAGCUGCUUUUUUUCUCAGGAUGAUGCCACUAGUAGUGGUCAUAGACCUUAUAUGAUUGCAUCUGCAAGCACCUUCAUAGAGUCAAGCUAGCUACCAAACUCUGUCUAUUGUGUAAGAA